GUCACACAUGCCUCUGCCUCUUCUCUGAGCAUUGAGCUCCACCACUUCCAGCGGGUCCACUGUCCACCGUCCAACCAACCUCCACUCUCCUCUCGACAUCGACCGAUUAACCAUCACGACUAACUCGGGUCAUCGAUCUUCACUACGUUGCGGAUGCGCGACUUAGUUAGCAACGCCGACUCCUCCUUACCUCACUGUCGCUCUCUAGUCUCUCUGUCACUGGUGGAUUUGUAGUUUUCUCCCAAGGUUUUUUCAAUUUCUCUAGCUUCUAACCCAAAUCCUCUCUCCCAGUACUUGCUUCUUUGUGUUGUUGACAUUUUUUUCGCUUUCUGAUGUGUUGCAUGCAAGAAGAGCCUCUUCGCGGCCUCCACACCAUCGUCGGCGUCGGUCGUCGCUCUCCACGCAAUCGUCGGUCGUCGCUCUCCAGUCCAUCAGCUCUCCGCGCCGUCAGCAACUUGGUUGUCCUCAAUCCUCUGUCUUCCUCAGCCCUCAGUCUUCCUCAGUUCUCAGUCCUCAGUCCUCAUCAGCAACUGUAAAAGGAAAAUGAAUGUCAAUCGACAGUGGAUGUAUAAUAGGCUCAAGGAUGGGUUGUUGAAUACUGAAGUAUAAUAGUUUGCAGAAACUUGUAGAAGAUCAAAAUCAGAUGAUAGCUCAAAUGCAUGAUGAACUACAGGCAGCGAAGAUGGGACAUCAGUCUUCCUCAUUGAUGCCAUCAUCAUCUGAUAGUCCUCCAGCUCAUAGAUCCCUUGGUGAUUCACAUAUGGAUUAGCAUAAUGUCAUUACUCACUGACUUAAAUAAUAUAUUUUAUAAUAUGAAUUUGAUACUAUUUGGAUCCAUUAUGUAUUUUGAGAUAUUUUAAGUUUCUUAGUGUUGAACUAUAGUAAUGUUUUGUACUUUUAGAUUGCAGAAUUAUGAAAUGAAGUUGAUGUGUA